rnacentral:rRNA from 1 species
AACGAACGCUGGCGGCAUGCCUAACACAUGCAAGUCGAACGAGACCUUCGGGUCUAGUGGCGCACGGGUGCGUAACGCGUGGGAACCUGCCCUUAGGUUCGGAAUAACUCCCCGAAAGGGGUGCUAAUACCGGAUAAUGUCUUCGGACCAAAGAUUUAUCGCCUUUGGAUGGGCCCGCGUUGGAUUAGCUAGUUGGUAGGGUAAAAGCCUACCAAGGCGACGAUGCAUAGCUGGUCUGAGAGGAUGAUCAGCCACACUGGGACUGAGACACGGCCCAGACUCCUACGGGAGGCAGCAGUGGGGAAUAUUGGACAAUGGGCGAAAGCCUGAUACAGCAAUGCCGCGUGAGUGAUGAAGGCCUUAGGGUUGUAAAGCUCUUUUACCCGGGAUGAUAAUGACAGUACCGGGAGAAUAAGCUCCGGCUAACUCCGUG